UCCCUGACAGUCCAGUGGUUAGGACUUUCACUGCAGUGGCCCAGGUUCAAUCCCUGGUUGGGGAA
rnacentral:tRNA from 1 species